AUCUCAGCAUAAACCCUCUGAAUGAGGGCUAGACACCGGGAAAACAUUCUUAGCUCUCUUUUCAAAUUUUGUGUUUAACCCUACAAGUGGGAGUAGACCCACUCAAGAGAUUGCUCCAUCCCUCGCCGAUGCUUGGCUGGGGAACAACACCCAGAUUGAAAGCUGCCUGAUAUAGAGCUGUGUGAGUGGCUACUAUGCUGUUGCUGGGACCUCCCCCAACCUGGGUUAAGAUGCAAACUCUGAGCUCUGAGCACUGGGACCCCAGUGUGCACUGGAACUAUGAGAUCACUAACAGGAAUCACUAUUCUCCUAACUUUAGGUAUUAUGAGCGAUGCUAAGACCACACAGACAAAUGCAAUGGAGAGUACUGAAGAAGAACCUGUCCACCUGCCUUGUAACCACUCCACAAUCAGUGAAAAUGAGUACAUAUACUGGUAUCGACAGAUUCCCAACCAGGGUCCGGAGUACAUGAUUCAUGGUCUAAAAGGCACUGUGACAAAUGGAAUGGCCACUCUGAUCAUCACAACAGCUAGAGAGUCCAGUACCUUGAUUCUGCCCCGGGUUACCCUGGGACAUGCUGCCGUGUACUACUGCAUGGUGAGAGAAGCACCCUGGGACAGAUGGCGCCACCCCCGUACAAGAUCUGCCUGGUGGGGGAAGGGAAGCAGCACCUGCCAUCUCCUGAGGCCACUGCGCAAGAAUGAGCAGGAGCCCAAUAGAGGAGAAGUAAAGGAGGAAAGGGGAAAGAAGUAAAGAGAAGAUAGUGAGGGAGUCAAAGAGGAAAGAAUAAAAGGGACAGAGGAUGAAGAAGAGCUCACGUUAUUAAAAGGAGGGACUAAAAAGUUCGCAAGGAAACUAAGAGACACAAUUGUAAACCUGCGAUAAAGGGAAAAGGAAAUGAGAAUUUGCCCUAGCUCUUUGUCAAAUGUUGCUUUCUAUAUAGAUCUCCUUAAAAUAGGUGAGAACAACCAUGGGGUUGUCCCAAAGACUUUCUUCAUUCAGACCCGAAGAGGUGCCCAGGCUCUGGAUAUUGCAUCAUAUUAGUCCUUCCAACUCCUCAAAAUUGGGGAUGAAUUUCAGAAACUGAUUUGUUUGCCCUUGAAAAAAAUUUGCUUACUGUAGCACACACAUCAUUGAGAUACAGACAAUUUGGGGGAUGCGAUAAAUAAGGGACACAUAUGUGGAUAUUCAUUUCAUUUUUAGAAUUGAUGUUGAAAUAUUAUUACACACACACACACACAAAAAAACCCACGCAAAUCUUUUCUCAUUGUAAAAGACUCAAGUUAUUACGUAAGGAUGUAGAGUAAAGCCUGAAAGCCCAAUCGGACUCUCCCCGCCUCCUCUCCGUUUCCUUUUCAAUUCCUAUGAUAACCCAUUUUGACAGUUUGGAGUGUGUCUUGACAAUCACAUUCUUUUUCAUUUAUAAGGGUGCUCAUAUAAACACCCAAUUUUCUUACAUGAAAUUGGAUCGUAUCAGGUGUAU